rnacentral:rRNA from 1 species
UACAGAGGGUGCGAGCGUUAAUCGGAAUUACUGGGCGUAAAGCGCGCGUAGGCGGCUUUGCAAGUCGGGUGUGAAAUCCCCAGGCUUAACCUGGGAACUGCAUUCGAGACUGCAUUGCUAGAGUAUGGGAGAGGGAAGUGGAAUUUCCGGUGUAGCGGUGAAAUGCGCAGAUAUCGGGAGGAACACCUAUGGCGAAGGCAGCUCGCUGGGACGUUACUGACGCUGAGACGCGAAAGCGUGGGGAGCAAACAGG